GGUGGCGCUUCCUCCGUAUUGGCGUGACUGACAUCUGGCCAACUGCCUCGCGGCGCGCGGGUCUCACCAACAAGUUGUACGGUCCAGAGGCAUGUAAGAAUACGAUGUGCCAACCAGCUCCGUGACCCCUCGGAAUUCGUAUGCUAGAAUGCUGUGGUUGUCACUGUAGGCGAUGUCUAAGGGGUUAACACGGACCUUGAAAUUUACUCUCGUCAGAGGAGAGGUGCUACUCGCAAAGCUGACCACUAUGUGAGAGACUCGCAGAGCAGUUCUACAGGCUACCAGUUCCCUGAUAUUCGCCCUCACCCCUAGACCUGCCGGAUUUUCGAACACCAGAGUACAGUCAUCCGCUGAUGCCAGAUGAGGGCGCCGGGUCCCAAUGGAUGAGGAGUCCAUUCUGGUAGGCGCCUGCGUCGCGGUCGUCACCCUCACCGUCGUGGUGCUGGUCGCCUGCUACGCCCGGGUGCUGACCCAGCUCUGCUGCACCAACAGCAGGAUCAUCCCAUAGGUACAGCAAGCCUCUAGCCUCACCGUCUCCAAAUGUUGGGAGUGUGCUGAGCUGCUGUCCACCAGCAUGUUAACCGAAGGCCUGGGAGCGGCUGCGGUGCUGGCCCUGGCUUUGGGCCUCCUUUUGGUGUCGGCGCUGGUAGUGUGCUACGCCUGCGUUCUGCGCCAGCUGUGCUGCCGGGCCGCCGCUGAUGGCAAGCUGUGGC